rnacentral:misc_RNA from 1 species
UUUCCGUAGGUGAACCUGCGGAAGGAUCAUUAUAAAUGAAAAACGAAUAACUUCAGGGAAGAAGGGAACCUGCACGGUGACCUCCCCUGUCGGGCCACCCAAUACCCUCAAAAUGCCGCCGUCCUAGCGGUGGCAGACGAAGAAAAAACAAGAAAAACAAAAUAGAAACAGGCACGGUGGCCCGUUCACCUUCACACAACCCUCCGAGUACCGCUUCCAUGUUGCUUCCCCGCAAAUCCACCUCUUUGGUGAGCGCGGGGGAGGUCCGCAUCAAAUUCACCUGAAUGUCACAGCAGUCAGACAGCCAUUCAUGGAAACAAUAAAACUUUCAACAACGGAUCUCUUGGUUCCC